CAAUCCUCCGCCAUUGACAAUGGUACUAGAAUUCACUUUGGUUUCUGCCAACUUAGGCUUCUGGUCAGGAGCAGUGGAGGAAGUAAGCUCGCCUUGAAUCGAUACUGCCUGACUUGGAGUGAAUGAGCUGCUGUUAGGUGUCAGCGGCUGGAAAUAAGCAGGAUACUGGUAGUGCUGAGGCCCAUAUAUCUGGCCAUCAUUUACCAAAGUUGGAACUGGGGAAGCUGCAGGU
rnacentral:lncRNA from 1 species